GGCGGUCAUAGCGAAGGGGAAACGCCCGGUCCCAUUCCGAACCCGGAAGCUAAGCCCUUCAGCGCCGAUGGUACUGCAGCCGCCAGGCUGUGGGAGAGUAGGUCGCCGCC
rnacentral:rRNA from 1 species